CUGCUGAGCAGGGAGCCUGACGUGGGGCUCAAUCCCAGGACCCUGAGAUCAUGACCCGAGCCGAAGGCAGACGCUUCAACGCCUGAGCCGCCCGGGAUCCCCAGCACUUUCCAUUUUCAGCAGGUUUUAUUAUAACACACUGACGCUACAAUACUCUACGUUACUGGCUGCUCAUCACGUGGAAACUGCGUCACCAUCAGCCACUACAACAGGUAGACGUCGGAAAAGAAGGGGAAGCAGUGAGGCCGUACCACAGACGUCAGCAGAGCGAGCUCACCGGCACUCGGCGGGAGGUGGGAGCUCAGCGUCCGCGGUGCCUCCGAACCACCCGCCUGACUCAUGGCUGCUCAGGUGGGCGUGGAGCUGGUGUCUGGUUUUCCUUACGGCUUUCUUCA